UACGUAGGGUGCGAGCGUUGUCCGGAAUUAUUGGGCGUAAAGCGUGCGCAGGCGGUUCGCUGUGUCCGAUGUGAAAGCCCCGGGCUUAACCUGGGAAUGGCAUUGGAAACUGGCGGGCUUGAGUGUGGCAGAGGGGGGUGGAAUUCCGCGUGUAGCAGUGAAAUGCGUAGAGAUGCGGAGGAACACCGAUGGCGAAGGCAGCCCCCUGGGCUAACACUGACGCUCAGGCACGAAAGCGUGAGGAGCAAACAGG
rnacentral:rRNA from 1 species